AGUCAGGGAAGGAGCAGGAGGAGAGGUGGGCGAGGCCAAGGCAGGGGCAGGGCGCGCAGGGCCCGCGGGCCGAGCAGGUAGCUGACUGACAGCUGAAGGUAGUGCACACGCCAAGGGUUUCAAACAGGAUUCUGCUCCAAUUUUACCGUUGCGUCUUCCUCCCACCUGGACCUUUCACAGAAGAGGCACUCAAGGAGCGUUCGUUGAUGUGAACUGAAGAGACCAAACCCACAGCGGGCUACAGACCUACGUGCUAAGAAGAAAGAUCCCCCUUUCCUUUCUCCUCCUCGCUCCCUAACCUGAGCCCCCUUCCUUCCUGCAAGCCCUGCUUUUGUGAUGUCUGCCCAGACAGCUCAGGCCCGUGGCUGGGAAGUGGAAACAACCAGAACAGGCACAAAGCCACCCCAUGCAGAUGACAGACUGACCUCCCAGCUGGGUUCCUGGAUGCCCUGGACCACUUACUCCUCCGGCAGAACAGGGAAGGCCCACCCGCUCACCUCUGGGCCACAGCAUAAGAGAGGAGGAGACACCUGAUUCCUUUAGACCCCGCAUUCCUGAGCCCUCCGCGCACCAGCUCCGUCUGGACCUUCUGCAGCCCACAGCCUUACUUUGGAGAUUGCAGAUACCACAUCCAAGCUACUAGACACAGUGGAUCUGUGGUUAGUGGACACUAACAGGAUGUGAGGCAGGAACUAUCACCAUCCCUACUUUACAAACGAGGAAGCUGAGGCUUUCAGAGAGAAGAGUUCGGAACAGUCUGCAAGGAGGCGUCAGACCUGAAAAGCUGCCAGGGAGGCCCUGCAGAAUCAGUGCAAAGGCUCACGCUGACUGCGAGGGAACGACAAGAAACGCCCUGCCUGCUGCAUCAGGAAGCAAAUCUCGCCUCCACGUUUUACAAAUACCCACUGCCCACCUACAUGCCCCAGGUUGCUGGACAGCAGAAACACGGGCUCCACACUAUCCCUUCCAUCCUCCUCAACCCUCGGCUUCCCCAUUAGGCCCUCAGACACACAGACUCCUUCCUCCUUCCACUCCCCCUCAAAAAGUCCCACAUAUUAGCUCCAGCAAACAGAGCCCCAGGAGGAUCCCACGGCCUGGUUCUGCCACCAGCCAGACUCCAGGGCACGCUCCGGCUCGGCAGCAUCAGCCCUGCCCUCUGCUGCCCUAAGGAAAAUCUUUGCAGAGCCUUAGUGAGGCCUCCACCUCUAAGGGUGGACGGAUGGGGACACUUAGAUCCAGGGCCCCAGCUACUCCGAUUUUCCACUCUUGACUCACAGUGCCCUGCCCAGAAAGGCCUUUGGGCCCGACUACCCGUGGUUCAGAAGGCCAGAAUUCAGGAGAUGUGUUUGCAUGUGCGAAGUGAGCCAACGAAUGGAAACUCUGGCCCUACCUAGAGGGAACGCCUCGGAGAGACACAACUUCUCUGAAACGACCUGAUAGCAAAAGUUGGGAGAAUUGAGAGCUAGUCCUCCUCAGCCUGCAUCGCAGGGGCCUAACCAAGCAAUAAUGAGAGCAUUCACCUUGAGCAGAGCUAGAAGGUCAGAAUGGAUGCCAGUUUGGCCUGAACUUCUCCCAGCCUUGAACUUCUCCCAGCCUUGAACUUCAUAAAGUGCUUUCAUUUGCUACUCUCAGCUCCAAACCAUCCCAACAGUCUUUCAAGGGAUGCAUUCAUAUUUCCAUUUUGUGAUGAGGAAAGUGAGGCUCAAAGAAGUGAAGUAACUUAUCCACAGCCACAGGCUAGUAAGUGGCAUAGCUGGAAUUCUAUCCAGGUCUGUCUGUCUGGACCUGGGACAUUUAGCCAGCAUCCCCCGCUCCUCAAAACCAUCCAAUCAUCAGGGAAUUAUUAUACCCGGAUUCAAAGAGGUCAGGUGACUUGCCCGAGGUUGCAGAGAAAGCAAAGGAAAAUUAUACAAGGAGGCACAUCUGGGUUCCCUAGCCCCAGAACCAGGGCUCUUUGUACCACACCAUACCGCUCUGGGCGCCUCUCUCUGCCUUGAUUUAUCCCUCCAAGCUGCCAAA
ensembl:lncRNA